UACGAAGGGUGCAAGCGUUACUCGGAAUUACUGGGCGUAAAGCGUGCGUAGGUGGUUUGUUAAGUCUGAUGUGAAAGCCCUGGGCUCAACCUGGGAAUUGCAUUGGAUACUGGCAGGCGUAGAGUGCUGGUAGAGGGUAGUGGAAUUCCCGGUGUAGCAGUGAAAUGCGUAGAGAUCGGGAGGAACGACCAGUGGCGAAGGCGGAGCCAACGUCGCCCGAGUACCUGACGCUCAUG
rnacentral:rRNA from 1 species